GACGAACGCUGGCGGCGUGCUUAACACAUGCAAGUCGAACGGAAAGGCCCUGCUUGUGUGGGGUGAUCGGGGGGCGAACGGGUAAGUAACACGUAAGUAACCUGCCCUUGUCUUUGGGAUAACUUAAGGAAAGUGGAGUUACUCCCAUAUAGGAGCUCCUCCUGCGUUGUGGGGGUUGGAUAUUCGGGGCGGUCGGGGAUGGACGCGCGGCUUAUCAGCUUGUUGGUGGGGUAGUGGCUUACCAAGGCUUUGUCGGGUAGCCGGCCUGAGAGGGUGACCGGCCACAAUGGGACUGAGAGACGGACCAGACUCCUACGGGAGGCAGCAGUGGGGAAUAUUGCACAAUGGGCGGAAGCCUGAUGCAGCAACGCCGCGUGCGGGAUGACGGCCUUCGGGUUGUAAACCGCUUUCGGUUGUGACGAAGCGUGAGUGACGGUAAUGAGAGAAGAAGCACCGGCUAACUACGUG
rnacentral:rRNA from 1 species